rnacentral:sRNA from 1 species
CGAUGACCAAAAACGCAACGAAGAACGAAAUGGG